UGUAACAAGUGUGUAAAACUGUUUAUAUUUCACCUCAAAUCCAUCCUCAUUACCUGUGUAUAUUUGUUUUUCUUAGUUUUUGAAUUGUAUUUUAUUUUGGCGGAGAAGCUUUUAUUUUCUUGUUUCCUGUCUCCGUGUCAUAUCCUGUGUGUUCGCGCUGCCCUCCUCAGUUCGCGCCAAGCUGCGCUGGGGAGAGGUAAGCGUACAAAGUUGUCUUGUGUUUGUCUGUUGAAGUAUUCAAAAUGUCCUUAAAAGUAUUUUUGCCAAACUCGCAAGUUUUUAUAUGUUGUUCCCCAACUGUUUUAUGUUUAGCGCAGCACUGUACUGGGCACUUAAUUCCCACGUUAAGGACAUUUAUUGAGUUUACCGUGCCAAUGUGGUUAUUUUUGUUCUUUUGAUUUGUUAAGGUGUGUGUGGGAAAGCCAGAGCCCAAGAACUGGAGUGCUGAUGCAUUUUUUGUUUUAAACAGAGAAUUUUGGUUGGUUUUACCACAGUCCUGAGUUCGCGCCAAGCUGCGCUGGGGAGAGGUGUGUGUGGGAAAGCCAGAGCCCAAGAACUGGAGUGCUGAUGCAUUUUUUGUUUUAAACAGAAUAAAUCUGCCCUACUGCUGCAAUACA